rnacentral:tRNA from 1 species
UGGGGUAUCGUCUAACGGCAGGACACUGGUUUUUGGUGCCAGGCGUCCAGGUUCGAAUCCUGGUACCCCAGCCA